UGUGGUGGUUAUAGUGCUAAGGAACAUCCUUUCCCAUUCCGAACAGGGUCAUUAAACUUAGUAACGCCGAUGAUACUGCUUAUGCGGGAAAGUAGGUACUGCCUAUC
rnacentral:rRNA from 1 species